AGUGAAGCGGGACUAGCUCAGGAUGUGAAUYUGCGCUUUUAUGGCGCCGAAUUGUGGUCUGUAGACUUUGACAUUAUUUGCCGGGCCAAGUUCCUUGGAAAAGGACAGCUGAGAGGGUGACACUCCCGUCCGCCUGGUAAAGUGAGUCAUUUGUCAACGAGUCGAGUUGUUUGGGAUUGCAGCUCUAAUUUGGUGGUAAAUUCCAUCUAAAGCUAAAUAUUGGUGGGAGACCGAUAGCGUACAAGUACCGUGAGGGAAAGAUGCAAAGAACUUUGAAAAGAGAGUUAAAGAGUACCUGAAACUGCUGAAACGGAAGCGAAGGAAACCAGUGUUUGUUUGUUCAUAUUUCCCUGGCCACUUGUGGUCUGGGCGCUGUGGACUUGCGUGAGUUUGGGUUGGUUGAUCCCUUUGGAAGAGCGCAGUCAGAGUUGAUGUCUGUUGCUAGCACUGGGUUUGACUGAUGCAGACGAAAUGGUUUUCUUUACCCCGUCUUGAAACACGGACCAAGGAGUCUAACAUAUGUGCGAGUACAGGGGUGUCAAACCCCCGUGCGCAAUGAAAGUGACAGUGGUUGGAAUUUUUGCACAAUCCGCCGGCCUCAAUCCCUCGGGAGAACGGUCUGAGUGUGAGCAUACAUGUUGGGACCCGAAAGAUGGUGAACUAUGCCUGAAUAGGGUGAAGCCAGGGGAAAC
rnacentral:rRNA from 1 species